GACAGAGGUGCCAAGCGUUAGGCGGAAUCACUGGGCUUAAAGCGUGUGUAGGCGGAUCGUUAAGUACCUUGUGAAAUCCCACGGCUCAACCGUGGAACUGCUGGGUAUACUGGCGAUCUUGAGCCACCUAGGGGCGAGCGGAACAAGCGGUGGAGCGGUGAAAUGCGUAGAUAUCGCUUGGAACGCCAACGGUGAAAACAGCUCGCUGGGGGUGUGCCGACGCUGAGACACGAAAGCCAGGGGAGCGAACGGG
rnacentral:rRNA from 1 species